UACGAAGGGGGCGAGCGUUGUUCGGAAUUACUGGGCGUAGAGGGCGCGUAGGCGGCCGAUCAAGUCAGAUGUGAAAGUCCUGGGCUUAACCUGGGGACUGCAUUUGAUACUGAUUGGCUUGAAUGCAGGAGAGGAUAGCGGAAUUCCCAGUGUAGAGGUGAAAUUCGUAGAUAUUGGGAAGAACACCGGUGGCGAAGGCGGCUAUCUGGACUGUGAUUGACGCUGAGGCGCGAAAGCGUGGGGAGCAAACAGG
rnacentral:rRNA from 1 species